GACGAACGCUGGCGGCGUGCUUAACACAUGCAAGUCGAACGGAAAGGCCUGCUUUCCCUUGUGGACUGCGGGUACUCGAGUGGGGAAAAGGUGAGUAUCACGUGAGUGAGCUGCCCGGAACAUGGGUGUAAGCCUGGGAAACUGGGUCUAAUUACCGCUAGGACUGCAGUGUGGGGCGGGAGGUGGAAGACGAUGUUUGGGUGGUUGGGGAUGAGCUGGGGGCCUGUCGGCUUGUGGGUGGGGUAGGGGCUUACGAAGGCGUUGACGGGUAGCGGGCCUGGGAGGGUGACCGGCGACAUUGGGCCUGCGACACGGCCCAGACUCCUUCGGGAGGCAGCAGUGGGGAAUAUUGCACUAUGGGAGGAAGCCUGCUGGAGCAACGCCGCGUGCGGGGUGACGGCCUUCGGGUUGUAGACCGCUUUCGACUGGGACGAAGCGUGAGUGACGGUAGUGGGUAAAGAAGCACCGGCUAACUACGUG
rnacentral:rRNA from 1 species